rnacentral:rRNA from 1 species
UACGGAGGGUGCGAGCGUUGUCCGGAUUUGUUGGGUUUAAAGGGUGCGUAGGCGGCCCCUUAAGUCAGUGGUGAAAGCCCGGGGCUCAACCCCGGAACCGCCAUUGAUACUGGGGGGCUUGAGUACAGACGAGGUAGGCGGAAUUGAGGGUGUAGCGGUGGAAUGCGUAGAGAUCGGGAAGAACAUCAGUGGCGAAGGCGGCCUGCUGGGCUGUUGCUGACGCUGAGACGCGACAGCGUGGGGAGCAAACAGG